rnacentral:rRNA from 1 species
UACAGAGGGUGCAAACGUUGCUCGGAAUUACUGGGCGUAAAGCGCGUGUAGGUGGUUUCGCAAGUCAGGUGUGAAAGCCCGAGGCUCAACCUCGGAAGUGCACUUGAUACUACGGAGCUGGAGUCUUGGAGAGGAGAGCGGAAUUCCCGGUGUAGAGGUGAAAUUCGUAGAUAUCGGGAGGAACACCAGUGGCGAAGGCGGCUCUCUGGACAAGUACUGACACUGAGACGCGAAAGCAUGGGGAGCAAACAGGAUUAGAUACCCUGGUAGUCCAUGCUGUAAACGAUGAGAACUGGCUGUUGUAGGUAUUGACCCCUGCAGUGGCGAAGCCAACGCGUUAAGUUCUCCGCCUGGGAAGUACGGCCGCAAGGCUAAA